rnacentral:rRNA from 1 species
UACGGAGGGUGCAAGCGUUAUCCGGAUUUACUGGGUUUAAAGGGUGCGCAGGCGGAUAUGUAAGUCAGUGGUGAAAUCUCUAGGCUUAACCUGGAAAUUGCCGUUGAUACUAUAUAUCUUGAAUGUUGUGGAGGUAAGCAGAAUAUGUCAUGUAGCGGUGAAAAUGCUUAGAUAUGACAUAGAAUACCUAUUGCGAAGGCAGCUUACUACGCAGAUAUUGACGCUCAUGCACGAAGCGUGGGGAGUCAAACAGGA